UGGGGAAUUUUGGACAAUGGGCGAAAGCCUGAUCCAGCAAUGCCGCGUGCAGGAUGAAGGCCCUCGGGUUGUAAACUGCUUUUGUACGGAACGAAAAGCCUGGGGCUAAUAUCCCCGGGUCAUGACGGUACCAUAAGAAUAAGCACCGGCUAACUACGUGCCAGCAGCCGCGGUAAUACGUAGGGUGCAAGCGUUAAUCGGAAUUACUGGGCGUAAAGCGUGCGCAGGCGGUUUUGUAAGACAGUGGUGAAAUCCCCGGGCUCAACCUGGGAACUGCCAUUGUGACUGCAAGGCUAGAGUGCGGCAGAGGGGGAUGGAAUUCCGCGUGUAGCAGUGAAAUGCGUAGAUAUGCGGAGGAACACCGAUGGCGAAGGCAAUCCCCUGGGCCUGCACUGACGCUCAUGCACGAAAGCGUGGGGAGCAAACAGG
rnacentral:rRNA from 1 species